GACGAACGCUGGCGGCGUGCUUAACACAUGCAAGUCGAGCGAAGAAGCACCUUCGGGUGUGAAUUCGCGGCGAAAGGGUGAGGAACACGUGAGAACUCUGCCCUGCACUUCGGGAUAAGCCUGGGAAACUGGGUCUAACACCGGAUAGGACUCCUGGCUUCCUGGUUGGGGGUGGAAAGCUUUUGCGGUGUGGGCUGGGCCCGCGGGCUAUCAGCUUGUUGGGCGGGUAAUGGCCUACCAAGGCGACGACGGGUAGCCGGCCUGAGAGGGUGACCGGUCACACUGGGACUGGGAUACGGCCCAGACUCCUACGGGAGGCAGAAGUGGGGAAUAUUGCACAAUGGGCGCAAGCCUGAUGCAGCGACGCCGCGUGAGGGAUGGCGGCCUUCGGGUUGUAAACCUCUUUCAGCUAUGACGAAGCGCAAGUGACGGUAGUAGCAGAAGAAGGACCGGCCAACUACGUGCCAGCAGCCGCGGUAA
rnacentral:rRNA from 1 species